rnacentral:rRNA from 1 species
AAUAUUGCACAAUGGGGGAAACCCUGAUGCAGCAACGCCGCGUGAGCGAAGAAUGCCUUCGGUUCGUAAAGCUCUGUCCUUAGGGAAGAAUAAUGACGGUAUCUUAGGCGGAACCCCCGGCUAACUACCUGCCAGCAGGCGCCGUAAUACGUCGGGGGCAAACGUUCUCCGGAAACACUGGGCGUAAAGGGUGCGUAGGCGGCUAAUCAAGCAAGGGGUGGAAGGCUACGGCUUAACCGUAGUAAGCCUUUGGAACUGACUAGCUUGAGUGCAGGAGAGGAGAGGGGAAUUCCUAGUGUAGCGGUGAAAUGCGUAGAUAUUAGGAGGAACACCAGUGGCGAAGGGGGCUCUCUGGACUGGAACUGACGCUGAGGCAAGAAAGCGUGGGGAGCAAACAAG